rnacentral:rRNA from 1 species
AUUGAACGCUGGCGGCAGGCCUAACACAUGCAAGUCGAACGGUAACAGGAAGCAGCUUGCUGCUUCGCUGACGAGUGGCGGACGGGUGAGUAAUGUCUGGGAAGCUGCCUGAUGGAGGGGGAUAACUACUGGAAACGGUAGCUAAUACCGCAUAAUGUCGCAAGACCAAAGAGGGGGACCUUCGGGCCCCUUGCCAUCGGAUGUGCCCAGAUGGGAUUAGCUUGUUGGUGGGGUAACGGCUCACCAAGGCGACGAUCCCUAGCUGGUCUGAGAGGAUGACCAGCCACACUGGAACUGAGACACGGUCCAGACUCCUACAGGAGGCAGCAGUGGGGAAUAUUGCACAAUGGGCGCAAGCCUGAUGCAGCCAUGCCGCGUGUAUGAAGAAGGCCUUCGGGUUGUAAAGUACUUUCAGCGGGGAGGAAGGGAGUAAAGUUAAUACCUUUGCUCAUUGACGUUACCCGCAGAAGAAGCGCCGGCUAACUCCGUGC